ensembl:lncRNA
UGACUAGCUUUGUCAGUUAUGUAACCCACUUGUUCAUGCUGUUGUCAGGAUCAAAAGAUCUUACACAGCUUCUUGGCCUUCAGAAACCCUAAAGAUCUGGGCUACAUUGCAUUAACAUGAUGCAUACUAUAGAAGGAUUAGGACAUCCUCAAUAAACUCUUCUUGUGGCCAUAUAUUUGCUUUUCUCAGGUGAGCUCAAAUCUGCAAUACACAGUGAUUAAAAACAAGCUGACUCUUACAAGUCUUUCAACUUAAAGUUACAUAUUUAAUAAACAAUUCACUCAAAUCAUACCUUGUUUUACAGUAGAGAUGUGAAAGGGGAUCAGAUGUAUGAAGUGUCAGGUCAAGGCUAGUUUAAGACACACUUCAGACACCUAAAAAACACCAGUAGCACUUUGUACUCUUGUUGAGAUCUCACCAAGCUACACCAUCUCAAAGUAUUCUGCAAACAAGCGGUUGUGCCUCUGCUGUAAGAGAUAUCAGUAUUACUCCCAUUACAGAUAGGAAAAGUUAAAACAAAAGGGACAUGGAUUUGUCUCGUCGGUGGCAGAGCUGGGAUCAGAUUCACUUGUCCUGAUUUUUUGCUCUAAGCACCAGCAUUGUUUCUCAGGUGUUAUGUCAGCCAAGCCUUCACUGAUGAACAAUGGGGCAGGAAGCAGAGUAAAGCCAAAUAAGGCCAGUGUUCAUCUUGAAUUAGAUCAAUAAUAAUGGAACCUGAGUAGCUGCUUGGAAAUUACUACAGGUUGACAACUUGAUAAUAUGAGGAAGAGAAAGACCUGUAGAUUUUGGUGAGGAAAGAGGUCCUUGGGGAAAAACUCUUACAAAUUAAAACCAGACUAACAGGUGAAUUUUGGUAUCUGUUCAUCUGUUCUUUGUGGUGUAGCUGAGUUUGACAAAUGUCAUUACUUUCCUUGGUUUGCAGCUAUUUUAUUUUGUACCUGGAAAUCCCCGCUACUCACAGUGAACUGUUGCCCACUGGAUGCUCUGAACACACCGUUCAUGGCCCCUGUGACCUUCUGAGCACUGAAGAUGCAUUGAACCUUGGCCAGAAUAUGGCAAAGGCAAGGGACUUGCCUCAAGGUUCCAGGGUAUGGAAUAGAGGGGGAAGAAACCCAGGGAGAGCCCUUCUCAGGCAGAUGAAGCACUUUGAGUGCUGUUCUGGCAGAUGCUGAUGCUGUCUGGACAUGCCUUGUGGAAAUGAGCUUCUCUAUGGGAUGGAGGACUGCACGCUGCCUUUGGAGAAAAGGAGGGCCAGGAUUACUGCUCCCAGCAGUACUGAAAUAGCUAUUUACCCACAGCAGGAAAAUGUUAUUUUUGGGGCAAAAGGGAGCUGUAAUGUUUUCCUGUUACAGUAGUUGGCAGCAUUUCUCUAUAGCCCAAACAGUUCUUACUUUACUCUUUGCUGUAAGUUUACUAGAAGGAGAGACAUAUAUGACCAAUUCUGUAAUUCAAACAAUAUACUGACAGUAAGACAGGUUUAAACCCUGGGAGACUAUGGGGAUGGAGUGAAGGAAUAGCAGAGUGGGACCCUGUACCAAGAGCCUAAGCUGAGAGGAUACUGGUGGCUAUGUGCAGAGAAAUGUUGCAUGCACAGUGAUUUUCAAAGCAUAGACUAUUUGGAAUAAAGUAAGGACAUCUCUUGCA